CAUGACUGGUUGAGGUUCACUGGCGAUAAUAAGGAGAGAGGCGGCGACUGAAGACUGAACAGACCGGUCGGUCACUGCAGGUGGCGGCGUGGGGACGUUUUUGGACGUUCCCCGUGUUUUUUCACCCCGCAGACAUGGCUGAAUACAGCCAGGCGGGGAUAUUAACGGCGUUGCUGCUGUUUACCGUGGUGACGGUGCGGGAUAUUUACCUCGGCCGGAGCGCGGUGGAGCAGCAGCCCGAGCAGCAGCAGGCCGCGGCGGAAAGCUCGGGGCCGGGGGGCUUUCUCAACCCAGACCCGCUCACUCAGCGGCAGAGCAAGGCCAAGUUUUACACCGGCCCGCUCCUGAAGUUCCAGUACUGUAUAUCCUGAGGGUACAGUAAGGUGUUCCAGGAGUACUCUCGGUCUAUUAGCCAGCUGUACCCGGACAUCAGAAUUGAGGGAGAGAAUUACCCUCCAAAACCUCUCAAUAAAUACGCUGCAAAUUUCAUCUCCUACUUCAAACUGCUUGCCAUUGCACUCGUCGUCACGGGACAAAAUCCUUUUCAAAUGCUUGGAAUGGAAACACCAAGGAUUUGGUCCUGGGGUCAAGAAAAUAAAAUUUUCUCAUGUUUAAUGGCAUUCUUCCUCAGUAAUAUGUUGGAGACACAUUUCCUGUCUACAGGGGCAUUUGAGAUAACGUUAAAUGAUGUUCCCAUUUGGUCAAAGCUGCAGUCAGGAUAUGUACCAAACAUUCAGGAGCUCUUCAACAUCCUGGACAACCACCUCAAAAUGAAUCAAGUUGACAAGCUCAAAUUCUCCACUCCAUAGUGCUGUUAAAACUGAGAGAGAAAUACUGCAGGGCAAUGGAGUUCAGUAGUCAGGUUCAGGAGCAGUUUCUCUGGUCAGUGGGACUGUGGACUGUGGCCUAAUGAAGGCCUGCACUAAAAACAGGUCGCUGUGAGUGCAGACUGGAUAUCCCUGCCACCACACACACUUCCUCUGCCCAGCUACACUCCUCCAGAUAGACUGUCUCAAAAGAGCAGUGUACUGUAUGCAUACUGUAUCCAUUGUUGGAGAAUUGGGAAAAUUGGGCAGACUAUUUGUAUCAGAUCAGUACUAAAAGGACAGAAUGACCAAGUGGUCAGAAUAUUGCUGUUGUCUGUCUGUUAAACUCAAGGACAUGGUUUUUUUUUUUUUUUUUUUCUUUUGUUUUUUUUUUUUAAAUCUGCAAAUUAAAUAAAUGGUCUUAAACAUGGUAAUUGGUUUGCACUGCUGUAGAACUGUUUGGAAUAAGUGUUUUCAGGCUGUGUGUCCUGAUAAAGGUGCAUUUUGUUGAGCACACUUAAGGCAAAAUGCUUAGAUGUGUUAUUUUAUGUCUUAGCACUGAGCUGCUGCUCAACGGGGGGAUUACAUUGGGUAAGUGACAUUGUUUGGGAUCUUCAACCUCAUUCUUCCUCUUAACUCUUUAAGCUAUUUGUUUUAUAGCAUUAUCUGCUAACAAUCUGUCAUGAAUUGAAUGAUUGUUUGAGCGUGACCACUGUCUUAAUGAGUGUGUGAUUGAGAACACUGCAUAUCUGAGGUUAGAUGUGAAUGGUACUCUUCUUUCCAAAGACUUUCUCUAUUUUUCCAUCUCUCCUUUUAAAUGUGGUGAUGAGAAAGGCACCUCCUCUAUUUUAAUGUACCUUGCUGUGAUUUUUUUUUUUUUUUUUUAAUUGAAGGUGACAGUUUGUUGCGAUUCAGCUAGAGAAAGUACAUCAUUGUUUCAAAAUAAUGUGAAAAAAUAAAGGUUACAAUAAAACUUA